rnacentral:tRNA from 1 species
GGGGUUAUAGCUCAGCAAUGCAAGCAGCUGCCUGGCAAGUACAAAGUCCUGAGUUCGAGUCCCGGUAUCCCCU